rnacentral:rRNA from 1 species
AUGGGCGAAAGCCUGAUGCAGCAACGCCGCGUGAACGAUGAAGGUCUUCGGAUCGUAAAGUUCUGUUGCAGGGGAAGAUAAUGACGGUACCCUGUGAGGAAGCCCCGGCUAACUACGUGCCAGCAGCCGCGGUAAUACGUAGGGGGCUAGCGUUAUCCGGAUUUACUGGGCGUAAAGGGUGCGUAGGUGGUCCUUCAAGUCGGUGGUUAAAGGCUACGGCUCAACCGUAGUAAGCCGCCGAAACUGGAGGACUUGAGUGCAGGAGAGGAAAGUGGAAUUCCCAGUGUAGCGGUGAAAUGCGUAGAUAUUGGGAGGAACACCAGUAGCGAAGGCGGCUUUCUGGACUGCAACUGACACUGAGGCACGAAAGCGUGGGUAGCAAACAGGAUUAGAUACCCUGGUAGUCCACGCUGUAAACGAUGAGUACUAGGUGUCGGGGGUUACCCCCCUCGGUGCCGCAGCUAACGCAUUAAGUACUCCGCCUGGGGAGUACGCACGCAAGUGUGAAACUCAAAGGAAUUGACGGGGAACCGCACAAGUAGCGGAGCAUGUGGUUUAUU